rnacentral:lncRNA from 1 species
GAGGCCCUCUGCAGCCGGACAAGGCAGCGAUCCAGGGCCCUGCUUCCUGCUGUAGCUAGCCUGCCUCUUCCAGUCCAAUUCCCAAGUGCCUGAGAAAUCCAGACGAGGACAUGGGAUCGUUUGACCCUGAAGUUUACAGAUGGGAGGAAGCUGGGACUCAAAACCUGGCCCUCUGGAAGAGUAUGUAGUCUCAACUGCAGAACAAUAUCUUCAGCCUCUCUGGAGUGAGAAAGGUCAACCAUGGAAAGUAACCCUUUACUGGGAGAACUUUAUAGGUGAAGAAUCCAGCAGCUCAUUCAUGAAAGAAUUGCUGGCAGCAAUGCAGACUCCUGAGCCCUAGGAAUUCAAAUUCAGCUGCUACAACAUGGAGCAGAAGAUCCCCUUCAAGGACUUCAGGCUCAGCUGUGCCUGGGCACUAUCUCGAAACAUCCUCAGCACAUUCUGUUCAAAAGAGUCCUCAAAAUCACACAGUGUUCUCGCAAAGGCAUCAUCAGGACUAUGGGGCAAGCAGCAAUCCAGCUCAGUGCCUCUUCUACCACGGAUGGGCUAUGUGUUCUUGCAGGCCACCUGCUCUCUCCUCGGCCUCUCCUGCUGCCUUGAGAGGAAGGAAGGUCUGGAAAACAUAGGCUUACCAAGUUCAAAUGUAUCAGGGCUUCAAAGACGGCUGUAUUUU